rnacentral:snoRNA from 14 species
UGCAUUGAUAUAAAAAUGUGGUAAGAACCAAAGGUUAUGAGUAAUCAAAUUCUGUGUUUUGAGAUCCAUA